rnacentral:rRNA from 1 species
GACGAACGCUGGCGGCGUGCCUAAUACAUGCAAGUCGAACGCAGUGGGGACGGGUGAGUAACACGUUGGUAACCUCCCAUCAGAGGGGAUAACACUUGGAAACAGGUGCUAAACCGAUACUGAUGGAUGAACCCGCGGUGCAUUAGCUCGUUGGUGAGGUAACGGCUCACCAAGGCCACGAUGCAUAGCGGACCGGAGAGGGUGAGCGGCCACACUGGGACUGAGACACGGCCCAGACGCCUACGGGAGGCAGCAGGAGGGAAGCUUAGGCAAUGGAAGAAAGUCUGACCGAGCAAGGCCGCGUGAGGGAAGAAGGAUUUAGGAUCGUAAAAGACUGGUGUUAGAGAAGCGGUAUAGAACCAGAAAGCCACGGCUAAAUACGUGCCAGCAGCCGCGGUAAUAC